UCCGUAGGCAGUGUGGCAAGUCGGUAGUGAAAUCUCUCGGCUUAACUGAGAGGCUGCUGCCGAAACUGCCAUGCUCGAGUGCGAGAGAGGCGAGUGGAAUUGCGGGUGUAGCGGUGAAAUGCGUAGAUAUCCGCAGGAACAUCCGAGGCGAAAGCGGCUCGCUGGAUCGCAACUGACGCUGAGGGACGAAAGCUAGGGGAGCAAACAGGAUUAGAUACCCUGGUAGUCCUAGCCCUAAACCAUCAGGACUUGGGGUUUGCCCUGUACGGGGCAAGUCCCGGAGCUAACGCGUUAAGUCCUGCGCCUGGGGAGUACGGUCGCAAGGCUGAA
rnacentral:rRNA from 1 species